GGAAUCUUCGGCAAUGGACGAAAGUCUGACCGAGCAACGCCGCGUGAGUGAAGAAGGUUUUCGGAUCGUAAAACUCUGUUGGUAGAGAAGAACGUUGGUGAGAGUGGAAAGCUCAUCAAGUGACGGUAACUACCCAGAAAGGGACGGCUAACUACGUGCCAA
rnacentral:rRNA from 1 species